UACAGAGGUCUCAAGCUUUGUUCGGAUUCAUUGGGCGUAAAGGGUGUGUAGGUGGCGCCGUAAGUCGGGUGUGAAAUUUCGGAGCUUAACUCCGAAACUGCAUUCGAUACUGCGGUGCUUGAGGACUGGAGAGGAGACUGGAAUUCAUGGUGUAGCAGUGAAAUGCGUAGAGAUCAUGAGGAAGACCAGUGGCGAAGGCGGGUCUCUGGACAGUUCCUGACACUGAGACACGAAGGCCAGGGGAGCAAACGGG
rnacentral:rRNA from 1 species